UACGUAGGCAGCAAGCGUUGUUCGGAGUUACUGGGCGUAAAGGGUGCGUAGGCGGCUUGGUAAGUGUGGUGUGAAAUCUCCCGGCUCAACUGGGAGGGUGCGCUACAAACUGCCGGGCUAGAGUGCGGGAGAGGAGAGUGGAAUUCCUGGUGUAGCGGUGAAAUGCGUAGAUAUCAGGAGGAACACCGGUGGUGUAAACGGCUCUCUGGACCGUAACUGACGCUGAGGCACGAAAAGCGUGGGUAGCAAACAGG
rnacentral:rRNA from 1 species